rnacentral:lncRNA from 1 species
GACCAGGCUCCCCAAGUGUUUUUCAAUAUCUGUGGUUAAGGGCAUUAUAAUAUUCAUGCUGAAAUGUGGGUUUACACAAUGAAUGCUGACCUUUUUGUUCUCUUCAGAAUUUUGAAGAUUUCAGGUCUGCACAUGGCCCAAGGCACUAUUGCUGCUCACGUAUGCCGUCAGUUAUCUGCAGGCUCAUCCUGAGAGCUGGUCCUGCAGCUCCGGCUGCUGCUGCUGCUCCUGCUGGAUCCUCCUUCAGCUGCUCUGCCUCCUGGGCCAGCUCAGAGUGUACUUCCAUGAUGAAUAAUAUCAUCACCUGCUGCAGGACACUCUGUCAUUGAAGGUGGAGGCUUCAAGGAGGUUUGGUUCCCAGGCGUGGACCUAUACGACUCGUCGCCCAUGCUGUCGCAGCAACCCACAUACAAAAUAGAGGAAGAUUGGCAGCAGAUGUUAGCUCAGGACGAAUCUUCCUCAGCAAAAAAAUAAAAAUAAAAAUAAAUAAGAGAAGUGGACAGAACCUUGGAGAAUGCCAACAUUUUAGGGGGGAGCAGAGUGAGAGAAGAAAGAGGGCAACUGCAAAGAGCAGAUGUCAAGAGGCUGUGGAAUCAACGUGUCUUGAGAAAGCGGAGAUGGAGACUUCGACCACUUCUUUUCAAUUAGUUCGCUUCACCAUCUGGAUCACCAUUGGAGCGCUGAGAAGCCAGAAGGAGAGGUGGCCUCCAGAUGUCUCUAGGGAGCCAACCAGGUUUCUGACAUUUAAGCUCUGCCCCCGUAGAUUUCUUGCAGCACAAGGACUUUGGAAUAAAUAACGGUGGUUUCAAAAUUUGGGACCCUCUUCUCCUGCAUGUCAGCCUGGAUAUACUGGAGGAAAACACCAGCAUAAUGCCUGUUCCUAGGAAUUUAUGUUUCCAAUCACCUGAUCACCUAGCUUUAAAGCUGGUCUAGAAAAGAAAAAGAAAGUUGGAAUGGACCGUAUUUUAAGGAAAGGUUUUCAUUGGUGGAUUUAUCUACUGAUCAAAAUAUUUUGGGAUGAAUCACUUGCCUGCAGGAUGACUGAAUCCAGUAAAUGAAGAAAAGUGACCAAUGUUGUGAGGCUUCUGCAAUCGCAAAAUGACAACCCUUUAGCCUUUUCACUAGUGUCAUGUGAUGGUAGGUGAUCUAGACACCCAUCGAAGGAAAACCGUAAGUGAUUUAAUUUGUGAAUGCAAACUUUUCAAUUCCCUAAAUCUGCGUAAUCUCCAAGAAAUGGGUGGUAAGCAGGAAUAAGGGCUAGUGGUGAAAUACUAAAUAUAGAAGGGGUAACUGUCUCUGUCGCGUGCACUUCCCUUCUGGGUGGGAAUUCCAGUAAACUAGGCAGGGAGGAUUGCAUAGAGAGAAAAAGAGCAACAAGUGUGAAAAUCUGUGGGGUAGGCUUCAGGAACUACCAGUAAAUGAUUAUUCUACUGGUGAGGAUUCCCCUACUAAAAUCAAUCUCUCUAGAAGUUUCAGUCCCUUUGUGAAAUAAUACAGUGAGGAGGAAUACUAACUAAAGUCCCUCCACACUUGAGCAGACACUGUUUCUGAGGUUGCCACACACAGUUGUAG